AUUUCAAUUGCAUCAAGCACUUACACCAUAUGAAAACUACCAGCAAACCACAAAUUAAAAAAAAAAAAAACCAAAGCAACAUAUGCUCAUAAAGCUUAUUGAAAAUUGGAAAACAUACUCAGCAAAAACCACCACCUUUUUCCAUUGUUGUAUUCCAUAGAUUAAAGUUAUUGUUUUGGAUUCUCCUCCUUUGGGGCUGAGGGGUCCUUCUCAUCUUCAUGUUUCACCUCUUCCCAUGCAUUGGUUGUGGUCUUCGAGAGAUUCUUUUUGCAAGGUGUUAAUAGCGCCUGAAUCAUACGUUUUUUGUGGUUCCUUCUGCCAAGCUCAUUGUUGACUUAAACAACUUCUUCUUUCCCUCUGCUUCUUUGUAACCUCUCCUUUCCUCGCAUGAUUCCUACCAAGAUC
rnacentral:lncRNA from 1 species